CCUACGGGCGGCAGCAGUGGGGAAUAUUGGACAAUGGGCGAAAGCCUGAUCCAGCCAUGCCGCGUGUGUGAAGAAGGCCUUCGGGUUGUAAAGCACUUUCAGUGGGGAAGAAAGCCUUGGGGCUAAUACCCUCGAGGAAGGACAUCACCCACAGAAGAAGCACCGGCUAACUCCGUGCCAGCAGCCGCGGUAAUACGGAGGGUGCGAGCGUUAAUCGGAAUUACUGGGCGUAAAGCGCGCGUAGGCGGUCUGAUAAGCCGGUUGUGAAAGCCCCGGGCUCAACCUGGGAACGGCAUCCGGAACUGUCAGGCUAGAGUGCAGGGGAGGAAGGUAGAAUUCCCGGUGUAGCGGUGAAAUGCGUAGAGAUCGGGAGGAAUACCAGUGGCGAAGGCGGCCUUAUGGACUGACACUGACGCUGAGGUGCGAAAGCGUGGGUAGCAAACAGGAUUAGAUACCCCAGUAGUC
rnacentral:rRNA from 1 species